UCAGUCGACUCCUACGGGGAGGCAGCAGUGGGGAAUAUUGGACAAUGGGCGAAAGCCUGAUCCAGCAAUACCGCGUGUGUGAAGAAGGCCUUCGGGUUGUAAAGCACUUUUAUGUAGGAAGAAGGAUUGAGUGUUAAUAGCGCUUGAUUUUGACGGUACUACAGGAAUAAAGCACCGGCUAACUCCGUGCCAGCAGCCGCGGUAAUACGGAGGGUGCGAGCGUUAAUCGGAAUUACUGGGCGUAAAGGGUACGUAGGCGGCUUGAUAAGUCAGAUGUGAAAUCCCCGGGCUUAACCUGGGAACUGCAUUUGAAACUGUCUGGCUAGAGUGAGUGAGAGGUUAGUGGAAUUCAAGGCGUAGCGGUGAAAUGCGUAGAGGUCUUGAGGAACAUCAGUGGCGAAGGCGACUAACUGGCACUACACUGACGCUGAGGUACGAAAGCGUGGGGAGCGAACAGGAUUAGAUACCCUGGUAG
rnacentral:rRNA from 1 species